GGGAGACGGGAGAGGGCCAACCCCAGGCCCCCAAUCAAUGUUAUGGGGCU
rfam:Mus musculus chromosome 11, GRC primary reference assembly.